AACGCCGAGAAACAAUCUCUUACUUAGGCUUCGUUUGGGAUUGCGGAGAGAUUGUGUUACGUACGGUGAGAAAGUGCGUUGGAAAAAUACCCUGUUUGUUUCCGUACGUAAUAUUGCGUUCCGCAUAUCGCGAAGAGUCGGUUACGAUAUAUUUACUGCAGUCCCACCGGAGAACGCAGAAGCAUAUUCCUAUAUGCUUUUUCCCCAACUCUAUUUAUCUAACAGCGUUUCACAGGCCUCAAUACCAAACUAAAUCUUAGUAUAUUUAGGAAAUGAUAGCAACUCAUAAUUACUGAUAAAUAAUAUCUUGGUCCUAAAUUAGCCUCCCAACAUUUGACACUGUUCAUAAAUAUAUGGAAGCAAAAAUUGCUCAAAUCAAUUAUAAAGAGCUACGCUAGAAUACUAUUAAUAACACUAAGUCAUUGGUGCUAUUAAGUUUUCGAUCCUUUGAUGAAUCGAUGUACGAUUAGGAUGAUAAUGAUCUCCUAAAGUUAAGUGAAUGAUUAGUUAAAUAGUAUGAUUUAGCAGGUAAAAAUGAUCAAAAAGAUUAAUCUAACGGUAAAAAAUUUGAUAAUAUCAAAUGCUUGAUGAUAUCGAUAGCAUUGUAGCUAGACUCCAAUUGUAAAUAAGAUUUACAAUUUCUAUAUUAAGAAACUCCGAAUC
rnacentral:lncRNA from 1 species